GGGAACUUAGUCGUACUGUUUCAUUACUGAGUGCAUUCCCUUCAAUAGCUGUGCUUAAGAUUAAGUUCAUGAGGACCACUAUCUGGGAAUUGGAUGAGGGGUGGAAGGCCAAUCUGAAGCAUGAGUAUCCAAACCUGAGGGAGCUGGAAGUGUCUGGGUACAGAAGAGACUCCUGUCAAAUUGAGUUGCUGAUCAGCAUAUUUAAAA
rnacentral:sRNA from 1 species